rnacentral:tRNA from 1 species
GCUUUAAUAGUUUAGGUAAAAUAUUAUAUUGUGGAUAUAAAGUCACAUUAGUUUAAGGCA